UUUUUUUUUUAAAGAUAAUCUUUGCAAGUCUCUUACUGCUUAAAAAUGGAACCAAAUGAAUUUGGCACUGCCUUUGCCCAUGUACCUGUACCACCACUUUCAGUUAGGGUUCAAUAACCUAAGUUACAUAUGUGAAACCUGGCAGGAGAGCAAUUUUCACUUGCCUACAUGUUGGUUGUAGCUCAUCCUUCAAGGCAAAGUUCAAAUGUUAUCUCCUUUGGGAAGCCUGCCUGACCCAGUAAAAUUAAUUGCUGCCUUCUCUAUAAUCCUUGCUUAUCUCUCAGAGUACUUAUCCCACCAUAUUAUAGUAACUCUCUUAUGAAACUGAGCUCUCUGAGGGCAGGUAACCUGCUCUAAUCAGCUUUGUCUUACUCUGUAGUGCCAGAUAUACCUAAACUCUGUAAUGUACAGUUGUUUUUAGAAUAGGAAGAUAAGAGCUAAGUGAAGCUCCCAGAUGGUAACAUUUAAGACAUCUAAAAUCUUAGUUUUAAUGUUUUUAUUUGAAGAACUGAACUCUCAAAGCUCCACCUUGCAAAAGCAUCUAUAAAAAAGUUGCCAGUAGUGUCAAGAUCAUGGCAGACAAGAAGUCCCCUGAGGAUAAAAAAGCAGCUCCAAAGCCUGGAUCUUUCCCUUUCCAAAAGUCUCCAUCAAUUACAGCAGUUUUAUUAUAGUCAGCCAGGAUAUUCUAGACCAAGAAAGACUAAACGCUAACAACUUCUGCUUUCAUUCCAGUAAUGCUCCAGAAACCUAGACAGUAAAGCAGGGGGAUGCAACAGCUGUAAGAUUAAGUGGGUUGCUUAUCCAGGGUGUCGACAGUCGCAAGCGACAGAAGGUUCAACCCUAGGGCAGCCACCAAUGCUCCUCCAUACCACACCGUGCAGGUAAGGCAGCACUGCUCCUCCACAGGGAUGCCUGCCACCUGAGAACCCUAAGCCUUCAGAGGGCCAAGGCACCCACUGAGACACACAUUUGUGAGCCAUGGACAAGGCAACUGGCAGUAUCUCCAGAGGGUCAGCACACGCUUACUGCCAGCAAUCAAAGGUGAAAAGCCACACUUGCUGCUGCUGCUUUAGUCUAAUCAAGAAUAAGACAAAGACAUGUUUCAAAGGCAAUAUAAAAGCAACGGCUCCCCAGUUACCUAUCAAUUUCCUAUACCACCCUAGGGAAGAAUAUGUGACAGCGCAAAGAUAAUGGUAAUAUCUACUAUAAAGACUGUAUAUUAAAAGAUGACUAAUGUGAUUUCUUCUUUCUCCUUCUAAAUAAAUCCCAUCAGAUUAUUUCUGCUUAAAUUCAUCUUAACUUCAUAAUUUCAAAGUGGCACUUAUUUUUCAUUUAUUAAAAUAACUUUCUCCUUUCGUUGCCUAGUAUCUGCCAAAAGUUUUUUUCAACUAAACCUGAAAGAUUGAAGGAACUACAAUUUACUAAGUAAGUGCCCACUAGAGGCUGACUUCUGAUGUGUACCGAGUUCCGAUUUGAUCGUCAAUGCUAAAAGUAACCCUUAAGUUAUAACAGGCAUUGGCUUCACUUUACAAAGAAACAGGCCUACCCGUUAAGAUUUUGUCAAAGAUUAUCCUCUUCUAAGUAGCCACCCCAGUACUCAAAACCCAGGCUAGCCCACCUGGCUCUUCACCAUGGCCUUGUACUGCGUCUUCCCAAGACCAUCAGCCUGCAGCUGGCCACCUCAGAGCCAAGUGACUGUCCUGAAAAUAACUAGCUACGACCAGUGGGCCCUCACUCUGCACCAGGCACUUCAUACACAUUAGCUCUGGCUCCUUCAGUUUAGCAAGGGAGACCCCUGACCUUAUUAUCUUACAGCUGAGAAAACUAAGUUUGGGGGGAGGGAAGUCACAAACAACUGACCAGGGAAAGUCUAACACCAUGGUGAAGAAGGUGGCCUGUGAAGCCAAAAACAUCUUGCUCAACUCCCAACUUUACUAUUUACUUCACAGUGACCUUAAGUCAUUUAAGCUCUCCAUUGGAGCCUCCAUUUCCUCAUCUAUGAAAAGGGCAUAAAAGUACCUACACCAUAUAAGAUUGUUAGGAAAAGACAAAACACCACUGUGAGUAGUACAUAAUUGCUCAAUAAAUGAGACUGCUCACCAUUUCUACCACGUUUCUUAUCUCUGAGGAACCCUUUCAUGUACACAGUCUCUUACAAGGUAACAUGAGACUUUUCUGUUUAGCAUGGCAGAACAACGUUAAGAGACAGUACAAUCUGUACUUAGGGAAUUCUCACACACGAAGGAGGCUGCAUCAUUAAAAACUUGCCAUUUCCUAACAUCUGGUACCCAUUCCUAAAUAGACAAUUAAGUCAAUGAUAAUCACAUCUCGUUUUAAAAACAGGGAACUUCCCUCCCAAAGUUUGCACUGACCUUCCUUCACAGAGGCUGUCCGUCGCCUUGUUCUUUUUCUCCCUUUGUGAUCUUCCUCUAGUAUCUUAUCAUCAAAGCCAGUCAGUUCGAUAGUUUCAGAUUGACUUGUGGGUCCAGCUGAGAACCACUCUGGUUCUUCUUCUGUGUAAGAAUCAUUUCUUCUACGCUCACCAAAGACACGCUUACUAUCCCCAAACUCCCUCUAGAAAAGUUCAUAAAGCAAAAUUAAAAUAAUUCUAGUCAUUUCUACUUCAAUUGAGGUCUUAACGAAUUAAGUAAUGCUCAGUCGUGAAAUGCAGAUAUGCGGUAGAUGUGAAUCCCAUCCCCAUACACCCCUACCCCAGCUCUCUACACUCCUCCCUGACUGCUGUGUUCAUCCAGGUUCUCACAGUAAUCUGGUAUGAAUGAAGUGAACAGCAAGUCCCCAAGCACAUGAGGUACCAAAGCAAAGGGUCCAGAAGACAAACCCUGAAACGCUUGUCCUUGUAGUCCCUCUCGCGGUCUCUGUCUCUCAAGUCCCGCAGGUCCUUAUCGCUAAGCCGAUGAUCCUUCUCAAAGGUCCGGGCAGAGAUUAUUCUCCCGCUGCCAAUCCUACGUCCACCGAGCAGACGAAGCCCAUCGCUGUCUUUCUCUAAUGGACUUCCCGAGCGCCGGGAGCUAACAGCAGCUGUCACGUGGCAGCCCCCUCCAAAGCUUCGUCUCUGUGGGCUGAGAACAACAUCUAAGUCGUCUUCUUUCACCCGCUCUCGUGGAUCUGGAGAGAUGCGGGAAACAGAAAAUUAAGCAAACCAAUAGGGGCAUCGUUUUUCUUCUUUAGGUGGUAUGUCCAUGACUGAUGGGGGGAGGAUUGGAAGACAGUCACCACUAAAAUUGGGCUUAUCAACAUAUUCAGAGUAACAUGUACAUUACAUAUUUAUAAAUAGGCUGAGACUUUUGCCUUUUCUCUUUGGAGCAACAAAUGUACUUCACAAUAAAUGAUUUUCCAUGA